rnacentral:rRNA from 1 species
GAUGAACGCUGGCGGCGUGCCUAAUACAUGCAAGUCGAGCGAACAGACGAGGAGCUUGCUCCUCUGACGUUAGCGGCGGACGGGUGAGUAACACGUGGAUAACCUACCUAUAAGACUGGGAUAACUUCGGGAAACCGGAGCUAAUACCGGAUAAUAUAUUGAACCGCAUGGUUCAAUAGUGAAAGACGGUUUUGCUGUCACUUAUAGAUGGAUCCGCGCCGCAUUAGCUAGUUGGUAAGGUAACGGCUUACCAAGGCAACGAUGCGUAGCCGACCUGAGAGGGUGAUCGGCCACCCUGGAACUGAGACACGGUCCAGACUCCUACGGGAGGCCGCAGUAGGGAAUCUUCCGCAAUGGGCGAAAGCGUGACGGAGCACCGCCGCGUGAGUGAUGAAGGUCUUCGGAUCGUAGAACUCUGUUAUUAGGGAAGAACAAAUGUGUAAGUAACUAUGCACGUCUUGACGGUACCUAAUCAGAAAGCCACGGCUAACUACGUG